ACAAUGUUAAGCAAGCUAUAAUCAAAUUCAAAGAAACUUUAAAGGAAUUAUAAAGAAACAAUAAAAAAUCUUAAAAAAAUAUUAAAAUGAUCACAAAUAUAUCUCAAAUAAAUCUCAAUCUAAUCUUAAUUUAAUCCUAGUUAAAAUCCUAUUGAACUUCAUUCAAACUUUAGGCCAAAAACUAAUUAAAUUUUAAAUCUUAAAUAAAUCCUAAAGAAACCUUAAUCAAAUCCUAAUAAAAUUCUAUUAAAAUCCUAAGUCCUAAAUCGAAUCCUAACCAAAUCUUAAAUCCUAAAUCAAAUCCUAAUCAAAUCCUAAUCCUAAAUCAAAUCCUAAUCAAAUCCUAAAUCCUAAAUCAAAUCCUAAUCCUAAAUCCUAUUAGACUUCAUUCAAACCUUAGACCAAAAACUAAUUAAAUUUUAAAUCCUAAAUAAAUCUUAAAAAAAAUCUCAUCAAAUCCUAAUCAAAUCCUAAUAAUAUCCUAAAUUCUAAAUCAAAUCCUACCCAAUUCUAAAUCUUAAAUCAACUCGUAAUCAAACCUUGAUUCUAAAUCAAAUCCUAAUCAAAUUCUAAAUCCUAAACCAAAUCCUAACCCUAAAUCAAACCCUAAAUCUUAAAUCCUAAAUUAUAAACUAUACUCUAAUCAAAUCCUAAUCAAAUCCUAAAUCCUAAACCAAAUCAAAAUCAAAUCCUAAUCCUAACCAAAUCAUAAACCUUAAACCAAAUCUUAACUAAAUUCUAAUAAAAUCCCAAAUUCUAAACCAAAUCCUAAUCAAAUCCUAAACCCCAAAUCAAAUCCUAAAUCCUAAAGCAAAUCCUAAAUUCUAAAUCAAAUCCUAACUAAUUCCAAGUAAUUCUUAUGAUAGAUGUGAAUCUCAAUAAUUAAUAAACGAAUCAUUGAUUUUAACUCAAAAUUUACACACCUCUUACUAAUUAAGUUGAUAAAAAGUACAAAAAAAAAAAAAAUCGGAAUUAUCAAAUAGACGAUAACCUCAAAAACAUGCUCAAGUAUUAGUCGGCCUUCUUCUUCGACCUUGGUGCUAAUCUUCCAAAGCCAAUAUCUCUCUUUUUCACCAUUCAAUUGAUCUCAAAAAUCUCACAUAUGUAGCAAAAAAUUUUUACUAUCCUCAUACAUAAAUUUCUUUUCAAUCCAACAAGUAGAUUGCAAGAAAUCUUAAAAAUCCUCAUUAGACCUAAAUUUCUACUUUUUGAGACCUUGAUCCACUUAAACCUCAAUAAUCCUCAAUUCAACUAUUAGAUCAAGCUAAAAUUCAAAACACAUAUUAAGCACAAUUAUAACCAUUAAUCUACAAAAUUUUGCUUGUAGAUCUAGUACAAAACUCUCGAAAUCAUCCAAAAUAUCAAUCCUAUUUUAUUUCAUAAAAAUCCAAGUCAUCUGAAACAAACUUGACUUUGUAAAGCUCUUAUAAAGUCAUUACAAAUCCAAAUCACCUAAAACCAAUGCUUAUCAAAACCCUAUUAAGUUUGCUCUUAGAUUCUAUCCUCCAAUCUCCAAAAAAAUCCCAAAGUCAUCGUCAAGGCUUAGUUUUGUGCCUCAGGGUCUGAUUUCGACCCUUGUUCAUAACUGGCCCUCUCCAAGUAUCAAUAUCUAGUUUUUUCUAGAUAAUUUGCUAGAAUUUAUUUUUGACUUCUUCCUAAAGAUGCUUAUAUCAUUUAUUUUUCCAAUCUACUUUGUUUUGCCUUAUUUAUGGCCCUACAAAGUAGGUAGAAGUUACUUUUCUAAAAAGAUAGUAUUAUUACUAAAAGUUUUUCUACCUUCCUAUCUUUUAUCUAUAUUUUUUUACUUUAUCUUUUAAUUUGGCUCUUCUAUAAUAAGAUCCAUAUUAUCAUCUUUCACCAUAUAACCAUGUUACAACAUGACAUCCACCUCCUCUAAACUUUUACAUCCUUGAAUAUGCGCCAAAUAAUCCAACUUUGUUUGAUUCAUACUAUAUUCUCAAUGUAUUCAUCUAAUUCUUCUUCUUCUUCAUAUUCACUAUUCAAAUCAAAAUCAUCUUAUUGUCUUGAAAGAUUUAUGUCUUCGAUAAAAUCUUCUAUAUUUAUUUAUGUUUUCUUUUAUUUGAAUAUCUUCACUUACUUCCCUUAUCAUUAUCCUUUAAUCCAAUAGAUGCAAUUUUCUCCAAAAAUCUUUCAAUCCAUUUUUUUCAUAAAUCCCAACAUCUUUUAUUAUUUUCUAAUAUUUCUAAUUCACAUAAUUUUUUUCAAUCAAUAUAUAUAUAUAUAUAUAUAUAUAUAUAUAUAUAUAUAUAUAUAUAUAUAAAUUUUUAAUGCAAAUAAAACUUAAAUUAAAGGCACCUAUGUAUUAUAAGAGUAUCUCUUUUUUUAUACCACCAUAGUCUUACUUUAUAAUGAUACUUUUUCAUUUUUUUUUUUUUUUUUUUUUUUUUUUUUGCCAAUGUUUCUAUUUACUCAUCAAGUGCAAGUAACUUGGAAAUAACCUCCUUUUUACACCUCUAUAGUCUUGCUUUAUAGUGAUAUUUCUCCAAUUUUAUUUUAUUUUAUUUUAUUUUAUUUUUCAAUGUCAAUGUUUCUAUUUACUCCACAUGUGCAAGUAGUUUGGAAAUAUCCUCCUUUGCAUAUGACCAAACCAUUGGCAAGGUACAAAAUCUGAAAUAAAAAGACUAAAUCAAAACCUCUCCCACAUAUCUACAUACAUCUUGCUUGUAUCUUUUUUCUUAUUUCUUUGAUUCCAAGUCCUAUUUAAGAUGUCCAUGUAAUCUUUAAAUCCAUUGCCUAUGUCUUUAUAUUUGAAGAUUUUUAGAUUUUCUAACUUUGAAUUCUAUACUUCAUGAUGAACCUUACCUUUGUCAAAAUCUAAUUAUGUCUUCAUUACAUGUGCAUUAUCUAUGUAACUUUGACCUUGAUCCAAAAGAAAAGUGUUCACAAUUAACUUAAUCAUUGUCAAUGACUUGGCACCCUUAUCUUUUGUUCUAUAAUCUUUAUUUGCCACAUAAUCUUAUAUAACAUCCUUCAUAUCUUCUUGAAUGCAUCCUUGUAAAAUAUCAUAAUCUUUUGUUGUCUCAAAGCAUUGUAUAACCUCAUAAUAUUGGAAAAUCUCAUGUUCUUUUGAAAUCUCAUGCUCUUGAAAAGUCUCAUAACUUUCAUGAUAAUCCUUUGAUGUUUCAUAACCACAUUUAGUAUCAUAACCUAGUACAAUUUCAUAACCAUCUCUAUAAUGAUCAUAUAAAAAUCCAUAACUUCUUUCAUCCAAUCCAUAUGUGGUUUCAUAGCUAUAUGCAAUUUGACUUUCAUCAUCAUCUUCAUACAUAAUUCUACCUUUUUUCAUAUCAUAAUAUUGUGAAUUCAUAUAACCUCUAUGAUCAUAACCUUCAAUAGAUCCAUUAACCAUUUUUUUGAAGGCUCAAUCUUAAACUCUUCAAUAUAAUCUAAAGUUCGGAAUAAAACAUCUUCACCUCCUUCAAAAGUAGAAAAUGCCUUUUGGUUACCAAAUGAUACUCUAUCUAAAUUGCCAUCACCAACUUGCACAAACUUACUCAAUGUAGAAUAGUCAUAGCUUCCAACCACAUUGUCAUUAGUUUCUAAAUCCUUAAUCUUCAUAUUACCUUCAAAUUUUUGGAUACCUUGGCCUUCCAUAGUAAUAUUUUGAAAAAAGACUUUAUUCUCUCCUUCACCACCUUUGAUAUAAGAUUUAAUUUCUUUCAUUUGCAAAGAAUUGGCUCCUCCAUUGAAGUUCCUUGCUUACUCUUCUAUUUUUCUUUUUUUAAGAUUAGUCCCUUGCAUUGAUAAAGAUGACAUAGAAGCCAAAAUAGAAGAUUUCUUGGAUCAUAUUGUAACUCCUUUAGCUUCUGCUUCUUGUUGUUUUGUUAAAACAACUACUGCUUCUUUCAACUUUUCUCAAUUAUUGAUACAACUAUUCUCUUUAGACUCAUUUAUAAGAAGCAUAAAAAGCUCAUCUUCCAAAAUAUCAUCAACACCAUUUAAAAUUAACUCUACCUUUAAAGCAUCUAAUAACCAUCUCUUCGAGGAUGAAAGUUGAUAAAAUCUCUUAUCAAAUUCUUCCAAGAAUUCAUAAAGAUGCAUAUGCUUACUUGGUUGCAAUUCUAUCCAAUCCAAAAACUUUUGCUUAGUAAUCUUAUCCUCAUCUCCAUCAAUAAACUCUUCUUUCAAAAGUUCUUAAAAUUUUGACCAUAUCUCCACACUCCCUCCAAGAAAAUCUUUCCACUUUUUUAUGAAUCCCAAGUUUAAUAGCCAAAUGGAAGCUUGAAAUCAUCUUUGCCUCAAGGAUUUGGCAUGUCUCUAUCUCACAUGUAUAAACUUAUAAAAACCUUUUGAUGUUGCAUCCUUCAAAUCUCCCAAAUUUUUUGAUGACUCCUUGUAAUGCCUUUGUGAUACCUUUUUCAAUUGCUUGCACCUUUUGUUGUUCUUCCAUGAAUAUACAGAAAGCCUUAAAAAAUUAAUAAUAUUUGGUCCAUCUAAAAUAUUUAACAUAUCCAAAGACCUUGAUGACACAUCCUCCAUUUUUUUCUACAAUGUUUAAAAAUGUCCCUUGAAAUGCUCCAAUAAAUACCUUAUGAUACUUCAAAAUGCUCCAACAUGUCUAUAAAGCCUUAUAAUACUUCAUGAUAAUCCAAAUAUUAUCAUUGUUUUUUGAGAUAGUUUCUAAAGCUCCAAAAACUCUUCCAACUCCAUUUCAAGUAUCACUUCCAACUCCACUUGAAGUAUCAUAAAAAACUCUUCCUUCCAUUUUCUUGCUUUCUUUCUCCAUAAUUCAAAUAAAUUAAAAAAAAUAAAUUUAAGAAUACCUUCCAACUCAAGCUUUUCACGUCGGGUUUACCAAAAUAUAUCGUAAUAUGUGAAGUCUUGCUUGAGAAUGCUCCGAGCACCUAGCUGUGGAAGGUAGAAUGAAAAUUGUAACAACAAAAUCCUAACUAUAAUAGAAAACUAACAAUGCUAAGCAAGCUUUAAUCAAAUUCAAAUAAACCUUAAAGGAAUUACAAAGAAACAAUAAGAAAUCUUAAAAAAAUAUUAGAAUGAUUACAAAUAUAUCUCAAAUAAAUCUCAAUCUAAUCUUAAUUUAAUCCUAGUUAAAAUCCCAUUGGACUUCAUUCAAACUUUAGGCCAAAAACUAAUUAAAUUUUAAAUCCUAAAUAAAUCCUAAAAAAACCUUAAUCAAAUCUUAAUAAAAUUCUAUUAAAAUCCUAAAUCCUUAAUCAAAUCCUAAUUCUAAAUUAAAUCCUAAAUCUUAAACUCAAAAUCCUAAAUCAAAUCCUAAUCAAAUUCUAAUCCUAAAUCAAAUAUUAAUCAAAUCUUAAAUCCUAAAUCAAAUCCUAAUCCUAAAGUAAAUCCUAAAUUCUAAACUAAAAAUUUUAAAUCGAAUCCUAACCAAAUCCUAAAUCAAAUCCUAACCAAAUUCUAAAUCCUAAAUCAAAUUCUAAUCAAAUCUUAAUCCUAAUCAAAUCCUAACCAAAUUCUAAAUCCUAAACCAAAUC
rnacentral:lncRNA from 1 species